rnacentral:rRNA from 1 species
UUAUGCCUACGGGGGGCAGCAGUAGGGAAUCUUCCACAAUGGACGAAAGUCUGAUGGAGCAACGCCGCGUGAGUGAAGAAGGGUUUCGGCUCGUAAAGCUCUGUUGGUAGUGAAGAAAGAUAGAGGUAGUAACUGGCCUUUUUUUGACGGUAAUUACUUAGAAAGUCACGGCUAACUACGUGCCAACAGCCGCGGUAAUACGUAGGUGGCAAGCGUUGUCCGGAUUUAUUGGG